CAAGUGUAUGAAUCCAAAUUACACCGAGUUUAAGUUCCCGCAAAUCAAAGCUCACCCCUGGCACAAGAUUUUUCACAAGCGGAUGCCUCCUGAAGCUGUAGAUCUUGUGGUAAGGCUUCUACAGUAUUCUCCAAAUCUGAGGUGCACAGCGUUGGAAGCUCUUGGUCACGCUUUCUUUGAUGAGCUCCGUGACCCUAAUGCUCGUCCUCCUAAUGGUCGUCCAUUGCCAUCUCUCUUCAACUUCAGGCCUCAAG
rnacentral:misc_RNA from 1 species